UUAAUUUUUUUACUCAACUGCGUUUGGUGUGAACUUAGCCUACCUCAUAUGUUACUUCGGGCCUGGUAAUAUGGCUUUGCUUUAACUUCCCCUUUUAUUGCAAUGCGUUUGUCUAACAUUCUGCGUCAAUAUCGAAUGUGACUUAAAUUAUAGUUUUAUUUUGUACAGCAAAAAAUCUAGAUAUUAGCCAUUACUUAAAAAAAAGUCCAUCCAUUCUGAACUGGCAGAAAUUUUGACAUUUACUGAAAUAACUUGGAUGUCGAAUUUUUUCAUACAGCAAAUAUGGCAGUCAAGAAUAGAUGGACUAACAGGGCUUUUCUAAGGAAAUACAAAGGAUCACAAAGAAGAGAUAGCAUUUCUAAUUGGUUUCGAUUCCUUCCACGUUUAUUGUUAACGGUGUUCUUGAUAUUCUAUUAUAAGUCGAGUGUCUCGCCCCACCUGUCUUCUUGCGGACCAAAAAUUUAGCAAUGAAACGAUUCCAGGUGAAAUCAAAUUCAAACAUUUUAAUUUAAUAAUUUAAAAUGUUUGAAUUAAUAGAAAAAAUAUUACUAUCUGUGUUGUCUUGGGAGAUGAAAUGGUACUCUAUAUUUGAAUCGUACAGUUAAACUUUGUAGCAGCGAAUGCUGACAUUUAUCUCCACAAGAGGCGCUGAAAACAGUCGCACAAUAGUCAGAGUUGAAAAUUGUUGCACGCUAGGUGCCCGCAGUAUCGAGAAGUUCAAGGAAGUGAAUUCAAUUUACUCAAUCUUUCCUAUCUUUGUAAUCUGCCUUGUUGUCUCAAUCCUCUCGAAAAAAUUUUAUUUUAGAAACUUCACUAAGGCUUCAGGAAGUUGGACGAAAGAAAAUGUAAAAAAAAAAAAAAAGAAAAUUUACAGCAAACACUAGUGCCCCCUGGAUUCUGGGGGGCAAUAGCAUUCUUGGGCGCUAGAGGCCCCAAGAAUUCUGGGGAGCAAUACUGCAAUAGCUUUUACCUUAUCGGGAAUUCGGGACCUAAGUUAUUGCAUUGAAUUGAAUCAGACCCCGAACACAUGUCAGAGCUCAGUUAUUCUAAAGGUAACUGUAAAUUUUGUAUGCUUAUCAUGUCACCCUUUUCAAAUUGUGUUAGUUCAAUUUCAAUGGUUUCAACUUGCUGCUGGACAGAAGCUUGAAAGCUGUAGACCAUGGAAUGCUGAUCUGUUGUCUGCAGUUAAUAAUCCAUCUGACCAGGCUUAAAAUAGGAAAAAUCAUGUAAAGGGAAAAACCAAUAUGAAGAACUUAAGAAAGAAAAUAUGCUAGAAACUCCUGUAAAAGUAUUCUUGAUGAAAAAUCGGAAAUUCCUGGAGAUCAACAUCUGUGGAUAAAUUUAGGUAAUCAAGUUAUUGAAAAAUUAUCUAAGAAGAAGCAAUCAAUCAAGGAUGCAAGUUGAAUGAUAAACCAUAGUUUGUUGCAUUAAUAUAAAAUUAGGAUGGAAUGUGAACAAGAAAGACAUUUAAAAUGUUUGCAGCAGAUGUUUGUGGUCAGGUUACAAAGUUUAUUUACCCAUUGUUUAAACACUGUCAUUUUGCUGUUGAUUACCACACAUGUAUUAUUCAUCACUGUAGAUGCUGACAUAUCUAUCUACUACAUCAACUAGCUGCUUUGUAUGGAAGGAGAUGAAAAAUGUUCUGUUACGAAGGCGUUGCGACCUAAAAUGCUUUUUUUUGCAUUUUGUUAAUCUGAACGUAAAUUCGAAUUUUGGCAAAAUUAAGUUUAUUAAUUUAACAGAAAAAUUUUUUCUAUCUUGGGGGGUUAAAGUGCACAUCUGGGGUAUCUUCUUUUCUGUGGCCACUUUUCCCCUUGACCGGUCGAUCUCCCUGGCGGAUUAAUUCAGUGCGAUAUGUGUGUAUUGUUCCAAUAACAAAUUAAAAACUUGA